CCGAGCCACUGCUAUGGGGUCCGACUAAGCCAUGCGAGUCAUGGGGCGCGCUCUGCGCGCACCGGCGGACGGCUCAGUAACACGUCGGUAACCUACCCUCGGGAGGGGGAUAACCCCGGGAAACUGGGGCUAAUCCCCCAUAGGCCUGAGGUACUGGAAGGUCCUCAGGCCGAAAGGGGCAUCUGCCCGCCCGAGGAUGGGCCGGCGGCCGAUUAGGUAGUUGGUGGGGUAACGGCCCACCAAGCCGAAGAUCGGUACGGGCCAUGAGAGUGGGAGCCCGGAGAUGGACACUGAGACACGGGUCCAGGCCCUACGGGGCGCAGCAGGCGCGAAACCUCCGCAAUGCGGGCAACCGCGACGGGGGGACCCCCAGUGCCGUGGCAUCGCCACGGCUUUUCCGGAGUGUAAAAAGCUCCGGGAAUAAGGGCUGGGCAAGGCCGGUGGCAGCCGCCGCGGUAAUACCGGCGGCCCGAGUGGUGGCCGCUAUUAUUGGGCCUAAAGCGUCCGUAGCCGGGCCCGUAAGUCCCUGGCGAAAUCCCACGGCUCAACCGUGGGGCUUGCUGGGGAUACUGCGGGCCUUGGGACCGGGAGAGGCCGGGGGUACCCCUGGGGUAGGGGUGAAAUCCUAUAAUCCCAGGGGGACCGCCAGUGGCGAAGGCGCCCGGCUGGAACGGGUCCGACGGUGAGGGACGAAGGCCAGGGGAGCGAACCGGAUUAGAUACCCGGGUAGUCCUGGCUGUAAAGGAUGCGGGCUAGGUGUCGGGCGAGCUUCGAGCUCGCCCGGUGCCGAAGGGAAGCCGUUAAGCCCGCCGCCUGGGGAGUACGGCCGCAAGGCUGAAACUUAAAGGAAUUGGCGGGGGAGCACUACAAGGGUGG
rnacentral:rRNA from 1 species